CCCUGGGUUAAACGGCCGCGGUAUUUUAACCGUGCGAAGGUAGCGCAAUCACUUGUCCUUUAAAUGAGGACCUGUAUGAAUGGCUAGACGAGGGCUUAGCUGUCUCCUCCCCCCAGUCAAUGAAAUUGAUCUCCCCGUGCAGAAGCGGGGAUACUACCAUAAGACGAGAAGACCCUAUGGAGCUUUAGACACUAGACAGCCUACGUUAAACUUCCACUCCGAAGUGGAAAAAACAUUGUAGCUCCUGUCUCUCCUGUCUUCGGUUGGGGCGACCGCGGAGGAUAAAAAAGCCUCCAUGUGGACCGAGGCUACUAGCCUCACAACUAAGAGCUGCAGCUCCAAGCAACAGAAAUUCUGACCAGUGUGAUCCGGCAUAAUGCCGAUUAACGGAACAAGUUACCCUAGGGAUAACAGCGCAAUCCUCUCCCAGAGUCCCUAUCGACGAGGGGGUUUACGACCUCGAUGUUGGAUCAGGACAUCCUAUUGGUGCAGCCGCUAAUAAGGGUUCGUUUGUUCAACGAUUAAAGUCCUACGUGA
rnacentral:rRNA from 1 species